rnacentral:tRNA from 1 species
GGCCCCGUGGCGGAACGGCAGACGCAGCGGACUUAAAAUCCGCAGCCCAUAACUGGGCGUGUGGGUUCAAAUCCCACCGGGGCCA